GUCUGGGUGGCUCAGUCGGUUAAGCAUCUGACUUCGGCUCAGGUCGUGAUAUCGCACUUUGUGAGUUCGAGCCUCGCAUCAGGCU
rfam:Felis catus isolate Cinnamon breed Abyssinian chromosome B2, whole genome shotgun sequence.